GGGUAACCUGCCCAUAAGACUGGGAUAACUCCCGGAAACCGGGGCUAAUACCGGAUAACAUUUUGAACCGCAUGGUUCGAAAUUGAAAGGCGGCUUCGGCUGUCACUUAUGGAUGGACNNNNNUCGCAUUAGCUAGUUGGUGAGGUAACGGCUCACCAAGGCAACGAUGCGUAGCCGACCUGAGAGGGUGAUCGGCCACACUGGGACUGAGACACGGCCCAGACUCCUACGGGAGGCAGCAGUAGGGAAUCUUCCGCAAUGGACGAAAGUCUGACGGAGCAACGCCGCGUGAGUGAUGAAGGCUUUCGGGUCGUAAAACUCUGUUGUUAGGGAAGAACAAGUGCUAGUUGAAUUUUCUGGCACCUUGACGGUACCUAACCAGAAAGCCACGGCUAACUACGUGCCAGCAGCCGCGGUAAUACGUAGGUGGCAA
rnacentral:rRNA from 1 species